AUAGAUGCAUGGUGUAAUUCAGUGUCUAAUGCUGCACUUGGACCUGAGCCAAAGCCUGUUUGUGUCCACAACAGCAAGAACAUAUGAGUAUUCAGAAGUGCACAAGAGCAUGAAAGCAUGUUACUAAUCACAGACAUGUUUUUGAGCACAUCGAUUUGUAGGUAUGAACAUAAGCCUGCAGACACAACGUAGUGCUGUGUCUUGCUCUGCACAACUGUAGGCAUUUCAAUUGGACAGAUUUUGAAAUGAGUUUGCAACCAAGCUGUCUCAAUACUCGUUCCACACAUGGUUCAUGACUACUACAUGGCCCUUAAUAUUUUGCAUAUACCAUACUGUCAUUCUGCUCACAGGCAGGGAUGCAACACAACUGCUAGGUUGUAACUGGAUUCUAACAUGGUGACUCAGUUGUGCAGAUGGGACCAACUAAUCCUCUCUCUGUAUCUAGGUUAUCCAGUCCUCCCACCUUCCAGGUCUCUGUGAAGGAAACAUCUCAUAAAGUACAUGUGAAAAACACCCAUAAUCCUAUGGAUUUGGCCUCAUCAGAUGAGGCAGUAUGACAUAAAUCCCCAGAUUUUCCCACAGUGCACCAGUACUAUCAUGGUUUGUAGCACGGUAAGCACUAAUAUAGUUGACACAUUUGCCAUGGAGAAUAUUGCUGCAUGGGAUACACUGAACCAUACUAGCUGUAAUUGUCUCAAUGUGUAUGUCAAAGCCUGAAUACAAUUGUACUUUAGAAAGGACCUUCUCUUUUCAGGCUGGUGGAGCAAUGAUUUUUGCACAUAAAGUCUGUAGACAGACUCCAGAAAGUAGACUGCAGUUGAGUCUGAGCCUUGAAGGGAUUCCAAUCCCUCCUUUUUUCCAUUCUGAAAGAGGGAAAACUCUGUCAGAGGGACUCCCGAUGACAACAUAAACCCUCUUAAAAGGCAAUCUUCCCUGCUUCUAGCAUAGGUCAAAGAUCCCUGCUUCGGCCCACUCUACACAGAGGAAAGAGCAAAUAUUGCAAAGACAGGAGGCAGUAUGUAAAGAGAGAAGAAGCUAUACAGUAGCUUUCCAGGCCAGAUGCCAGAUACAUCUACAACCUCAACCGUUCCAUGCGACUGGUACGCUUAAACAGAUGGCAACAAUUUAAGACCAUUCUCACACUGCAUUUGAACAGAAUGAGAACAUUUGUGUAACAAAUUUGUUAAUAAGAAAGACUGCUGUACGAAACAAGGAUUCCUCCUAAGCCCUAACAUUGUAGUCUAUUGACAGGGCUUAGAUAGUGAGUACAACUACACAGCUUGGUUGUCUAUGAGGUAUGUGCAGUAAGCUCAUUGGCUUUUAGGGCCUCGUGUUUAUAAAGUGAGUACCUGUUUUGAGCUAUAAUUACCAUGGUGUGUAAAUUGUGCAUCUAUAUAUGCAAACAGUCUGCUAUGCUUUUAACUGGCUGCUUAUGUAUGCAAAUUAGGUGUGCAAUUUUGUGAAAACUCUUAUAAAAUCAAGGGUUUUCUGAUUCUCUGUUGUCUUGUACUUUGGAUUGUUACAUCCACUUUGCAUUCAUGUAAAUAGCUACACUUGGUGCAGGGCAACAGUGAAUUGAGCCCUUAGAGUCUAUAGACAGCAAGUGCACUGAUUUAACUAACUCAUGAUCUAAAUCGCUUUAGUUAAGUCAGUGCAGUCCCCAUGGGUAGAUGCUCUCACACAGAUUGUGGGGGAGGGGCAAAUACUGAUUUGGCCUAAUUCAGUUCAUAACUGAGUUUACAAGUACCUAUCCAAAGGCUGAUUUCACUAAAUGGAAUUAAUUAGUGCAGUUUCUGUGUGCAGUCCUUAAUUAGAGAGAUCAUCCCAUUCUAGAAAAACUAUAUUAAUUGAUAUCACACUUUAACACGACUAUUUUAAAGGGUCAGUAGUUUGCCCUGUCCCUUUUGAUAACUGAUUAAAAUA
ensembl:lncRNA